rnacentral:ncRNA from 1 species
AAGAAACCGUUGAGAAAGAAUAGUAGGCAUUUUAAGGAAAUCACAGAGAGCCGCAGAUGGUGGGAUUGCGGUAUGGAAUAGCUUGCCGAAUGGACUUUUGAGGGCAGCCUGAAACCGGAAAACAGAGAGUAGGCGCUGUCGGGAACCGGACCCGUUAUCAAUCAGGAGUGUAUGAAAGUACAUGCGAGAGUGGACGUUAACGUUAAGUUGAGUGGUACCGCGAUAAUAAUUCAGUUUAUUACCGUCUCAGAC